CAAUAGCGUAUAUUAAAGUUGUUGCAGUUAAAAAGCUCGUAGUCGGAUUUCGGGUCGGGCCGAGCGGUCUGCCGAUGGGUAUGCACUGUUUGGCGCGGCCUUCUUUCCGGAGACCGCGGCUACUCUUAACUGAGCGGGCGUGGGAGACGGAUCGUUUACUUUGAAAAAUCAGAGUGUUUCUAGCAGGCAGCUCGCUCUUGCAUAGGUUAGCAUGGGAUAAUUUAAUAGGACUCUGGUGCUAUUUUGUUGGUUUCUAAAAUUGAAGUAAUGAUUGAUAGGGAUAGUUGGGGGUGCUAGUAUUGGCCGGCCAGAGGUGAAAUUCUUGGAUUCGGUCAAGACUAACUUAUGCGAAAGCAUUCACCAAGGAUGUCUUCUUUAAUCAAGAACGAAAGUUGGGGGAUCGAAGACGAUCAGAUACCAU
rnacentral:rRNA from 1 species